rnacentral:rRNA from 1 species
CAGUAGCCACGGUAAUACGUAGGUGGCGAGCGUUGUCCGGAAUCAUUGGGCGUAAAGGGAGCGCAGGCGGGCAUGUAAGUCUUUCUUAAAAGUGCGGGGCUCAACCCCGUGAUGGGGAAGAAACUAUGUGUCUUGAGUACAGGAGAGGAAAGCGGAAUUCCCAGUGUAGCGGUGAAAUGCGUAGAUAUUGGGAGGAACACCAGUGGCGAAGGCGGCUUUCUGGACUGCAACUGACGCUGAGGCUCGAAAGCCAGGGGAGCGAACGGGAUUAGAUACCCCCGUAGUCCCUGUCUCUUAUACA